GGCUUAGAGUUUGAUCAUGGCUCAGGACGAACGCUGGCGGCGCGCCUAACACAUGCAAGUCGAACGGAGUUGAGAGGAGCUUGCUUUUCUUGACUUAGUGGCGAACGGGUGAGUAACGCGUGAGGAACCUGCCUCAAAGAGGGGGACAACAGUUGGAAACGACUGCUAAUACCGCAUAAGCCCACGGUCUCGCAUGGGACAGAGGGAAAAGGAGCAAUCCGCUUUGAGAUGGCCUCGCGUCCGAUUAGCUAGUUGGUGAGGUAACGGCCCACCAAGGCGACGAUCGGUAGCCGGACUGAGAGGUUGAACGGCCACAUUGGGACUGAGACACGGCCCAGACUCCUACUGGAGGCAGCAGUGGGGAAUAUUGCACAAUGGGGGAAACCCUGAUGCAGCGACGCCGCGUGGAGGAAGAAGGUCUUCGGAUUGUAAACUCCUGUUGUUGGGGAAAAAGAGGAUGGUACCCAACAAGGAAGUGACGGCUAACUACGUGCCAGCAGCCGCGGUAAAACGUAGGUCACGAGCGUUGUCCGGAAUUACUGGGUGUAAAGGGAGCGCAGGCGGGUAUGCAAGUUGGGAGUGAGAUACAUGGGCUCAACCCAUGAACUGCUCUCAAAACUGUGUAUCUUGAGUAGUGCAGAGGUAGGCG
rnacentral:rRNA from 1 species